GCGUGUUGGUGUUAGCGACAAAGUGAGGCAGUGUCCCCCCCUCCCAGCUAGACCCCACACAGGAGCCUCCAUAGGCAACAGCCGUGGGUGCCUGGGGAGAUGGUGGCAGAGAAAGAUGGUUCGAGCCCCCCAAAACUCACUGGAGAGAGACCCCCACAACAACAGCAGCCACUGGGACAGCUGAGGAGAACCAAGCAGCAGGUCACUGAUGGAUUCACUGUUAAAGCCAUGAUGAGAAACUCUGUGACCAACAAACCCCAGGCAAGUCCCAAGAAAUGACAUUCUUUCAGCCUUCAGCAGACCUUUGGGCUGUGG